CCGACCUUAGCUCAGUUGGUAGAGCGGAGGACUGUAGUAGUAGCAGAAUAUCCUUAGGUCACUGGUUCGAAUCCGUUAGGUUGGA
rnacentral:tRNA from 1 species